GGAAUUUUGGACAAUGGGCGCAAGCCUGAUCCAGCCAUGCCGCGUGUGUGAAGAAGGCCUUCGGGUUGUAAAGCACUUUCGGACGGAACGAAAUCGCGCGGGUGAACAAUCCGCGUGGAUGACGGUACCGUAAGAAGAAGCACCGGCUAACUACGUGCCAGCAGCCGCGGUAAUACGUAGGGUGCGAGCGUUAAUCGGAAUUACUGGGCGUAAAGGGUGCGCAGGCUGCCCCGCAAGUCAAGUGUGAAAUCCCCGGGCUUAACUUGGGAAUGGCGCUUGAAACUACGGCGCUGGAGUGUGGCAGAGGGAGGUGGAAUUCCACGUGUAGCGGGGAAAUGCGUAGAGAUGUGGAGGAACACCGAUGGCGAAGGCAGCCUCCUGGGCCAACACUGACGCUCAUGCACGAAAGCGUGGGGAGCAAACA
rnacentral:rRNA from 1 species